AUUGAACGCUGGCGGCAUGCCUAACACAUGCAAGUCGAACGGCAGCACAGUAGAGCUUGCUCUAUGGGUGGCGAGUGGCGGACGGGUGAGUAAUGCAUCGGGAUCUACCCAAACGUGGGGGAUAACGUAGGGAAACUUACGCUAAUACCGCAUACGUCUUACGAGAGAAAGCAGGGGACCUUCGGGCCUUGCGCGGUUGGACGAACCGAUGUGCGAUUAGCUAGUUGGUAGGGUAAUGGCCUACCAAGGCGACGAUCGCUAGCUGGUCUGAAGAGGAUGAAUCAGCCACACUGGAACUGAGACACGGUCCAGACUCUACGGGAGGCAGCAGUGGGGAAUAUUGGACAAUGGGCGCAAGCCUGAUCCAGCAAUGCCGCGUGUGUGAAGAAGGCCUUCGGGUUGUAAAGCACUUUUAUCAGGAGCGAAAUACUACCGGCUAAUAUCCGGUGGGGCUGACGGUACCUGAGGAAUAAGCACCGGCUAACUUCGUGCCAGCAGCCGCGGUAAUACGAAGGGUGCAAGCGUUAAUCGGAAAUGUACUGGGCGUAAAGCGUGCGUAGGCGGUUAUUUAAGUCUGUUGUGAAAUCCCCGGGCUCAACCUGGGAAUGGCAAUGGAUACUGGAUAGCUAGAGUGUGAUAGAGGAUGGUGGAAUUCCCGGUGUAGCGGUGAAAUGCGUAGAGAUCGGGAGGAACAUCAGUGGCGAAGGCGGCCAUCUGGAUCAACACUGACGAGUGAGGCACGAAAGCGUGGGG
rnacentral:rRNA from 1 species